rnacentral:lncRNA from 1 species
AUGAAAGAUUGGAGCUUUUGGCAUGGGCUUGGCUUGAGAUGAUAAAAGCUGGGGAUGAGGUGUUACCCACAUGCAAGUCUCAACUAGUGAGCAUUAUGCAUGUCUAAUAUCGUAAGUCUCACAACGAAAGAAUACAUAUUCAACAUUAUGAGUCUUACAUAACCAAGUGGUAAAAAGAAAAUAGUGAUACUAAAUGAUAGCCGGUGGACGAUAUG